AUGAUAUGACAAAGGAGCCGUUGCUUAUUAACCAGAUAACAAAGGAAUUGUUAAUCCGGCUCAACGGUAUAGAUGCCGGUCACAAUGAUUGAAACACCCACGGAGGUAAUGAUUCUCGAUGCUGGCGGGGAGACGGCUAAAGAGACAGUGCUCGUUACAGUCAUGAAAUCACUGUGGUAUACCGUGGCACUGUGGCUUCUCAUCUGUUGUAGCUCGGUCAUAUUUAUGGGAAUUGAGGGAAACCACCAGAAACUGGUCCAAUGGAGGACCUUGGAGGAGCUGGAGCAGUUUAACAAAAGUCUUUAUAAGUGGAUAACUAAAAAUGAAGGCCCCAAUGCUAAAAGUCUGCGAAAUACAAUAGGCCUACACGAGCACCUUGAAGAAGCAACUUACGUGAAGAUAGCUGGGGCCCAGAUGGAUUUGAACUUCACAAACAUACACAAUCGGAUGAAGGCUAACUGUAGUUUGGCGAUUCAUGAUCUGAAGUCAUGGCACAAUAUGACCCAAUCCAGGGGUGAUUCCUUUAUGUAUGCU